rnacentral:rRNA from 1 species
GAGUUUGAUUAUGGCUCAGGAUGAACGCUAGCGAUAGGCUUAACACAUGCAAGUCGAGGGGCAGCACGGGAUUAGCUUGCUAAUCUUGGUGGCGACCGGCGUAAGGGUGCGUAACGCGUAUGCAACUUGCCUGUCAGUGGGGAAUAACCCGGAGAAAUCCGGACUAAUACCGCAUACACUUUGGUUUCCGCAUGGGGACUUUAGGAAAGAUUUAUUGCUGACAGCUAGGCAUGCGUUCCAUUAGAUAGUUGGUGAGGUAACGGCUCACCAAGUCAACGAUGGAUAGGGGAGCUGAGAGGCUUAUCCCCCACACUGGAACUGAGACACGGUCCAGACUCCUACGGGAGGCAGCAGUGAGGAAUAUUGGUCAAUGGGCGAGAGCCUGAACCAGCCAAGUCGCGUGAAGGAAGACGGUCCUAUGGAUUGUAAACUUCUUUAGUAGGUGAGUACAAGCAGUUACGUGUAAGCUGUAACUAAGUAACCCUAAGAAUAA